GCUUUUGACCUUCACCAUCUUUCGGGCUGGUGGCUUUAUCAUUGCCUGCUCUGCUGCUGGGGUCUUCCCAAGUCUGUACUGAAAAGCCAGCCUCAGGGGAGGCCUUUGGCUACCCCCUUUCACCCACUUUCUCAUCUUAGAGGGCAUUGCCUUGAAUUACAUUUCACCAGAAGGUGCCACUUGAAAGCAUCUAAGCCAAAGCUGAGCCCCUGUUUGCCCUGGAUUUACCCUGUGGCUGCCACGCCAGGCCACCCCUGCUGCUCAUCCUGCAGCUAUAACCAGACAAGCAAGGUGACCUCCAGUUUCCAGAUGGAUCCAACGUAAAAGAUGGUGAAACAGCCUCAGCAUCACGUAUCCAGCAUGCAUGCAGGGUCUUAGUUUCCUGAUUGGGGAUCAAACCCACGACCCCUGCAGUGGAAGCUUGGAGUCUUAACCACUAGACCAUUGGGGAAGCCCCUGCAUUUUC
ensembl:lncRNA